UCGGAUGUGGUGCACGGUGCACGUCGGCGUCAAAUACGUUAUCGAUGUAUCUAUUGGUAAUCGCUGAAGUCCGGGGUUCGAUUCCCCGCAUCCGAC